GUGAGUGCUCCAUGCGGGCAGCGGUAAGGAUGGCUCUCUUUAAUCGCCAUAUAUCUCUGUAAUCUUUAACCUUGCAACAGCAUCGCCUUUUCAUUCCAUACCCAAGACCAUUAAACCUGUGGGCAAACAAACUUCUUGUCUUCAGAGUCACGUGAGGGAAGGGAGUUUAUCUGACUGUCAAAACACUAAAAACAUGUUGAGGACAGUACGACGUUUCUAUAUGAGACGGGAUUUUGAUUCUCCACAUUCCAAUGUUGCAGAGGAGGAAGACAAAAAGACCCCGUGCUCUACCUGUUUUAGGUACAAAAGAAAGAUGUGCAUCAUCCUGUGAUGAGAAUGAGGUCGCCGAGAUCUAUGGAUCGUGAAAGUAACCCAGAUGCCUCCAGUAGCCGGCGAUAUUUAAUAAAUUAUCAAAAGAUUUUUAAUCAAAUCAUAGGUCUAAGUAAAAAAAUAGCUACUUUAAACAAAGCACUUUCACCUUAUUGACGAAGUACAUGAAUUAGUGGUCACAAUACUGGAAUUUCUAACUUCAAUACAAUACCUUGACAAUGAUCAAUAUUCAGUAUCAUUUUAAAUACCAUGGGGAUAACCACCAAAAGUCUGUACAUAAAAUAAGAACAAAAAAAAAAAAAAUGACCUAAAUUCAGUUGAGGUAUUCGAAAUAUGACAACACUGAAUUUUUAUAUGCGUCUAUCUUAAAGGGUUAGUUCACCGAAAAAUGAAAAUUCUGUCAUUAAUUUCUCACCCUCAUGUUGUUCCACACCCUUCAUUCAUCUUCAGAACACAAAUUAUAUUUUUGAUGAAAUCCGAGAGCUUUCUGACCCUCCAUAGACAGCAACAUUUUUACCACAUUCAAGGUCCAGAAAGGUAGUAAAGACAUUGUUAAAAUAGUCCAUGUGACUACAGUGGUUCAACCUUAAUGUUAUGAAGCGACAAGAAUACUUUUUGUGCACAAAAAAAUAAAAUAAAUAACGACUUAAUUCAAAAAUUUCUUCUCUUCCAUGUCAGUCUCUGACACUGUUGACGUAGUAAACACAGUGCAGCACUUCCAGGUUCUAUGUCAGAACGUCGGCUCAUUAUUGGCCGGAUUCUGCGUCAGCAUCACAUGCAUGUGUCGUGGUGCUCACACGAACAGCAUCAGAGAGUGACGCGGAGAGAGGAAAUUGUUGAAUAAAGUUGUUAUUUUUGUUUUUAUUUUUUAUUUAUUUUGUUUUGCACAGAAAAAGUAUUCUCGUCACUUCAUAACAUUAAGGUUGAACCACUGGUAGUUACAUGGGCUAUUUUAACGAUGUCUUUACUAUCUUUCUGGGCCUUGAGAAUUGCAAUUACGUUGCAGUCUGGGGUCAGAAAGCUCUCAAUUUUCAUCAAAAAUCUGGAACAACAUGAGGGUGAGUAAAUUUCAUUUUUGGGUGAACUUACCCUUUAAGAGCCAUAUAAUAUGUUGUUUAUUUAGAUAAAAAGAACAUCAGAGGGGUUUGACCUGUAAUGUCUGUACAAUAUAGUGAUGCAGUUAGACAGGUUAUUUUUAUGUACAAAUCAUACAAAUGCCCCAUUCUGAAACAUAUUGUAAAAAAAAUUAAAGAUCCACCUUUGAUUGUUGAGAGACUUUCUGGUGCAUUUCAAUUAUAGCCAAUAAGAUUUCCUGUAGCAUUUUCAUUGGUCAGGCAUGAAGGUCUAUUCUGAUAACUUUUGACAACGUUUAAUUUAAGAACACGGGGAUUCACGAUUGCACACUACACAGUCUGACGGCGCGCACUCAAUAUCUGAGUGAGAGGAGUGGCAGUUCACUUGCAUAUUUGAGAGUGCGUUUGUAAUUCAAAUACGCCAUAGAAACUUGCGAGUAUGAUUAAAAUUAUGCGCAUACCUGCAAUCUCGCGCUAACAAUCAGGCUCUGUAACUGAAACGUGUGAGUGACAGGAGGAGGCGGGUGUGUGUCAAACUCGCUGUCUGGGAGAUGAGAGAAUGAGAACGCGCCGCUGGUAAAAUAUCAGGGUUUUCAUUGGUCCAUUUAUGAUCGGAUUUCUUUAUUGGCUACCGAUAUGCCGGUCAAAGGUUUGAAUAAUCAAAUUGUUGCCGUGCUCAGUAACGGAAUGUGAUGUAGCGAAGUAGAUUACUUAGCUUAAUUUGUACUUAAGUACAAGUAAAAUUACAGAUUUAAAAAUGUACUCAAAAUUACAAAAACCCGACAAAGCUACUUAAUUACAGUAACGUGAGUAGUUGUAAUUCGUUACUUUCACCUCUGGAUGCCUCAUACCCAGACACUGCACCUGCUGCUAGCUGUUCUCUGGACAGAUCAAGUGAAAGUGAAAAAGGUGAGAUGAUUAAUGAUCUAUGUAACUACUACACAAUCCUGAUGUGACUGUUAUAUCAAACAUCCCACUUUAUAUUAGCUUAUUUUUUGAUGUAAGUAGUAGUUAAGGCCACCUAUUAUAAAGUGGGACCGCAUUAAAAUAUAUAUUUUGAGCUGCUAUCCCACUCCUACCUCUAAACAUAGACCCUACUCAUAACCAUUUCUUUAAAAAAAAUAUGUACAAUUAUAAAGAAAAACAUAACAGAUAACUACACAAGUGUAGUCACAAUAAUUUAUUUAUUACAAAAAAAAAAAAAAAAAGUCAAAAACCAGUACCAAAAGUAGUCCAAAUGACAAUGUGUUGCAGUCACAGUCUCUCUGGUAGUAUAUAAUAGUUUAGUAUGAGGUUCCGAGCAGAAUUUAAGUUAUUAAUCGCUGAAAAUCUUCUCAUUUCACUGCAUAGGAAUAUAUUGAGAAAAUGUCUUUGGGGUUCACAGCAAACAAAAUAUGACAUAAUGGUUAAAUGAUUACAGAAAUGCUAUUCAUUUUAAAGGGUUAGUUCACCCAAAAAUGAAAGAUAGAAAUAUAUUGUUGAAUAAAGUCGCUAUUUUGUUAUUUUUGAUGCACAAAAAGUAUUCUAGUCACUUUAUAUUAUUAAGGUUGAACCACUGUAGUCACAUGAACUGUUUUAAAUAUGUUUUUAGUAGCUUUCUGGGCAUUGAAAAAGGGAGCGUUAUUGCUGGUGAUGCAGGCCUUACUGAGUCAUCGGAUUUUAUCAAAAAUAUCUUAAUUUGUGUUCCGAAGAUGAACGAAGGUCUUACGAGUGUGGAACAAUAUGUGGGUGAGUAAUAAAUGAAAUAAUUUUCAUUUUUGGGUGAACUAACCCGUUAAGGUUUGUUUAACAUUAUGUAAUCUUUCAAAACAAGUUUGUAGCAAAAGUCACACAGAAAAGAGCGAAAUGUUAUCAUUUUAUAUUAAAGGGUUAGUUCACCCAAAAAUGAAAUUUCUGUCAUAAAGUACUCACCCUCAUGUCGUUUCUGUAAUGGGUGUGCAAGGAUGAGGCCAGGGUGAAAGAACACAAAGAAGAUUCCAAAGAACACACAAAGAAAACAAGAACAUUCAAGCACCCUUGACCGAACACAUGAACACCAUCAACGACUAACCAAAACAUUACUGAAACAUAAGAGCUUAAAUACUCAAGGAAAUCAAAGAUAAUUAAUUACAGGUGAGUCUAAUAUGACAACAAGGAGAAACAGAAACCAAACACAGGAAGGGAACACAGAAACAAUGAGAACAGAGAAUACAUUUCAACAUAAAAGUCCACAAGUUAGCGCGAAAGGCACUUAAUUGAAAUUUUGUUGGUUGCGCUAUCGAACCAUUUUGCCACAUGAGUUUUCAUGAGUUUUCGAGCAUGUUUAGGCCCUCAAAAAUGCGUUUCAUUUCAGAGAAGAAGAAUGAUGAUGAUGAUGAUGAUCGUUCCUGGCCUAAAAUAUGUAUAUGCAUAUGAGAGAUAUGUAAGAAGCCAUUGGUACAGGCUGAUAAGUUGCUAUGUAAGGUUGAUCAGGAAGUUCAAACAAAAGCUUAAAUAAUUUGUUCAACCAAUCUGCCAAGUGUUCUUGAAACCUGUUUGAACCUGUUUGAACAAUCAAUACUUUUGCACUUCUAUAAACCAUAACACUAACUUUUUGCAUAUUUCAGUAACUACAGUUCCUCUGUAAACCUUACCUACUUCGGGCAGGUUUCAGAUUUAGUGUACUUCAGAAAAUGUGUUUUAACAGCUUUAGAUGAAGCAUAGCAUAUCAUACUGUAGGACAUUGGUAUGAUUUGUGUUUAAACUUUACAUUUAAUGUCCAAAACAUGUCAAUUUAGAAAUUCAUUUUUACUGUCAAAUAUUUGUCACCUCUCCACAUCACAGACCCAGUUCCUAUCUGCAGAUUGUACUUCUGUGUACUUCUGUGCACAAAAUUAUGUCCUACCCGCUUCUAUCAUCUGAAAAAAUAUGCAAAAUGAGAGCCACAUCUGUUGGAUUAUGAAUAUCUGUAUGGUUUUCAUGCUGCUUUAUGCUGCAAGCUCAUCAAUGUGACUCAGUAAUGUAGCACCUCUCAUCUGUUCUCUAAUGUUGGUCUGUCUCUUUUCCCCUCUCUCUCUCUCUCUCUCUCUCUCUCUCUCUCUCUCUCUCUCUCCCCCCCACUCCCUCUUUCUCUCAGACAUGACAGCACAAAGAGGAUAAGGCCAGAGUAAUUAUGGUUCAGAAAGGCUGGCAGGUGUGAUAAAUGACUAAUAAGGAGAGAAAAGAGCAGGGUCCUCAAAAGAAGACUAUUAGUCUUAUCAGUCCUACACUACUUGGCCCAGGACAGUGGGCUUGUAACACUUCAACCCCCAAAUCAUUCUGCCUACCCAAGAGAGAACAAUUUGAUUAAACUCUAAAAUCUUAACCAUUCUUUAUUCCAGCAAGCAGGUUUAGCAGCUUAACUGGGUAAAUUAACAGUAAGCUGUAAACCUCAUCUUUUGCUUUCAAAAUCUGUAACAGUAUGCUAGUAAUCACAGCAUCACCUAACCAGUGGCCUGUUACACAAAACUAGUUGAACAAAAUUUGAGUUUCAGAGUAAUUAAUAGUUGACAAAACCAAACAAAUCCAACCUGGUUUAGAUCAGGUUCAACA